UUGUUUUGUACUUUUGUCAUAUAUUUUUAUAAAAUACUUUAGACAUAUUUUUUAUUCUAACUUACUGUGACGUGGAUGGAGCUUCCUUCUCCUUUUAAGUAAAUGGAAUGAGACUUGUUUUAAUAGAUCAAAAGAAGGAAACACUUAGCCAAGAAUCCGAAAGAAAUUAUAGCUUACGAUAAUUAACUCGGGAGUGACGUCUUUGGCUUUCGAUCGUGUCCCUAUAAAAGACUGUAAUUUAUGUGAUUUGUCACAUCAAGUGUAAGGUUUCCAACAUCCCAGGUGCAAAGUAAGCAAGAAAGGGGAAUUCACAACCUUUCAUCUCUGGUCUUCAUCUGAUAGAUUCCUGGAUUCAAAACAAAAAAGAUGGCUGUGGCACGGAUUAUAUUAAUCUUCCUGGUUAUAAUGGCAGUAACAAGUCCAGGUGCAACAACGACGACAACAGCUGCACCUACAACUGCAGCACCUACAACUGCUGCACCUACAACCGCAGCACCUACAACCGCUGCACCUACAACAGCUGCACCCACAACAGCUGCACCCACAACUGCUGCACCUACAACUGCUGCACCUACAACAGCUGCACCCACAACA